CGGGUGAGUAACGCGUGGAUAACCUGCCUCACACUGGGGGAUAACAGUUAGAAAUGACUGCUAAUACCGCAUAAGCGCACAGUGCCGCAUGGUACGGCGUGAAAAACUCCGGUGGUGUGAGAUGGAUCCGCGUCUGAUUAGCCAGUUGGCGGGGUAACGGCCCACCAAAGCGACGAUCAGUAGCCGACCUGAGAGGGUGACCGGCCACAUUGGGACUGAGACACGGCCCAA
rnacentral:rRNA from 1 species